GUUCCAAGGAUAUAAUAACUCAGCUCAGCCUAAUCUUUCUUUAACAAGUACAAUCAGUGGGAUGCUUGAUCCAAAAGACUCCUUUAGAGGUUUUUCAAGAGAAAAAGCACCAAAGAAUGUGAGGAAGAUUGAAUAGCGUUCAUAUUACCAAGCCAGACAGAUCAAAAGCUAUUUGUAGACUUUGAAUGGGUGACCAAGAAGAUGCUCUAGUUCUAUGGUGAUGCAAUGUUUUAGAGAUAUUAUAUCAUAUCAAAAUCAA
rnacentral:lncRNA from 1 species